GACGAACCGUGCGAACGUUGUUCGGAAUCACUGGGCGUAAAGGGCGCGUAGGCGGCCGAUCAAGUCGGGGGUGAAAGCCUGUGGCUCAACCACAGAAUUGCCUUCGAUACUGUUUGGCUUGAGACCGGAAGAGGUAAGUGGAACUGCGAGUGUAGAGGUGAAAUUCGUAGAUAUUCGCAAGAACACCAGUGGCGAAGGCGGCUUACUGGUCCGGUUCUGACGCUGAGGCGCGAAAGCGUGGGGAGCAAACAGG
rnacentral:rRNA from 1 species